AAAUCUUGAAUGAAAUAAAAGAAAACUUGCAGCUUCUUGAAGUCCCCGCAUCACGUAAUUUUUUGUUGGUGUAAGGGGAGGCCGUUGCAAAGGCUGUCUCCCCGACCGUCAACUGAACUUCAACUGAACUGUCAGCUGCUGAACUGAACACGCAGCUUACAGUCGCCGUAGCUGCACCGCCGUACAUUUUCUUAAAAUUGGUGGGAGACUGGAUAUCUUUGGAUCACCAAACAGAUUGCAUCUUUAUAGAGACAUCCUGCACCUGACUCACCGCUCAGUUGCAGUGGACUACCCAUUUACCUUGAUACCAGCUUACAACUCAAGAUAAUUGUUAUACUAACUAAAUAUAUCUGCAGUCAGCACAACUCAGCCAACUACUAAGAAGACCUUGGCAGUUAACCAUUGGUUCCUGUGGCUCCUAUUGUCUGUAUGUAGGAACCAUCAUCUCGGUGCAACACACAUUUAAAUAGUGCAACCUGAUUUGCCCUUCCAAACAUCAUAUACUGGUAACAAAGCCGUGAGUCUUGAAACUGCAAAUCAGACUUCUUGCCAUGGCAUAAGAGUGUAAGCAAAACUAAUGAUACUAUACUGUCUAUUUGUAGCUUGCAACUGGAUCCUAUGCUGCUUUUGUAAGCUUGUAGUAGAUUGGACAGUGGCCUGAGGCAGCCUUUUCCCACACAUCCUAGAAACAGACCUCGCCACAUUGCAAGUGCAAGUUUUUCUUUUAUGCUGUGUAGCCCACUCACAUAAUAAAUAUUUGGUUUCGUCAUCACUGGAUAGUAGAAAGAUUGCAGAUUACGACAGUGUUAUAAACCACAUCAAUUGACUAAAUAUAUAUAAAAAAGAGAUAAUGCAAGUUGAAGCCAAAGCCAGGGUUAUAAAAAUUUAAACGGGCUUUAAUUCCUUGCUGAUUUUUUCUUGGAAUUUUUAGGCUACUGUAAAACAAACAAUACCAUCUGAUGAAGAAAAUGCUCCUGAAGAUGAUGGUGUCAACAGAUUAUCAAUAUGUUAGAAAGGAAGGGAGGUAAGCAAGUUGCCUACAACUUUGUAUAAAACUUGCUUACCUCCAUUCCUCUCUAACUUAUCAAUAAUCUGUUGACACUAUCACCUUCAGCAACCUUUUCUUUAUCAGGUGGCAUUCUUAGUUUUUAAUAGCUUAAUAAUUCUAUGAAAAAAUCAGCAUGGAAUAAAAAGCGGUAUGAACAUUUAUGACCCCGUCUUGGACUUCAACUCGCUUUAUUUCCCUUAUUUUUUGUCAAUCUAAGUUGUUUUUUACACAGUUGUAAUCUGCAAUCUAUCUACUGUCCAGUGAUGAAGAAACCCAGUAUGUAUUAUGUGACAUGAGUGGGCUACAGAGCAUAAAAGUAAAGCUUGAAGUGUGGGGAGGUCUGUUUCUACGAUGCAUAUGAGAAAGCUGCCUCAGGCCACUGUCCAAUCAGUUAAGAGUUUACAAAAGUAGCCUAGGUUCCAGUUGCAAGCUACAAAUAGACAGAGUAAAGAACCUCAUUCUGACCCUUUGUCAAAUUGAUUUGGUGUUAGAUAUUGCUUGUAGUAAAUUGAGAUUAAUUUAAAUUUUAACAUUUUGCAUGAAGUCCAUCAGCUAAAACUGCAAAUUCAAUUUUAUUUUCUUAGCAGGUCACCCGUGAAGUCUUGCAGCAACACUGUAAUAUACUUGUUGGCCAGCAGAUUCCCUGAACAAAGUCUGCUGUGUUGCUGAGGCCAUGGAUCAUCAUUGGACUAACUACUGGUGAAGUACUGGAGCAUGAGAAUGUUUCCCAAAGUAGUAAUGUACAUGCAUGGUUAGCUCUCUCAGCAAUGAGCGACAACAUGGUUGGCAGAAAUAUAAGCCGGGUACAUGACCUGGGACAUGUUGGUGAUGACAGCAAUACCACACCUUUUCUUUUUUGUGCCAAUGUAUUAUGCUGACCCUCAACCGUUACAGUGAAACACAAUCUGAGCCAACACUCACCCUUAGUAUUCUUGUAGUUUGUGUGGGGAGUGGACAUAUGUCUUAUUGGUCAGGAAUCCUUUCUCUCCUGAUUAUAAGUUUAUCUGAGCUUAGGGGCAUGUGAUGUGUCAGGAUGGGAUGGAGAAAGUAAUGACAGCGUGUAUGAGUGGUUUGGUAUGGGUGCGACAGCGAAAGGAGUGGAGUGUGGAGUGGAGUGGGUGAAGUGUGGUGCAUUAAGGUGAUUUGGACACGUGAUGAGAAUGGGGGAGAAUGAAUUCGUGAAGAGAGCGUAUGAGGGAAGGAUUGAGGGAGGGGAUGUCAAAGGAAGACCACCUGUGAAGUGGAUCAAUAGGGUGAGUGAGUAUUUGAGUGUGAGAGUUGGAAGUAGCAGGAUUGAAUGUGCUGAGAGGGAGUGCCAGAACAGGGAGAGAUGGAGACACUUCUGCUGCGGCCAGUUACAGGGGAACAAGUUUACUCAGUGUGGCAAGAAAAGUGUAUGGAAGGGUUUUAAAUGAGAGGAUGAAGAAAAUAACUGAGAAAAGUGUAGGCAAUGAACAAAGGGGUUUUAGGAAAGGGAGGGGUUGUGUAGACCAAAUAUUUGCAGCAAAAAUGUUAGUUGAAAAAUACCUAGAGAAGGAUAGGAAGCUGUUUGUUGCUUUCAUGGACCUAGAGAUGGUAUAUGACAGGGUUGACAGGAAGGGUUUAUGGGAUGCUCAAAGGAUAUAUGGUGUGGGAGGGCAUCUGCUGGAGGGAAUCAGAUCCCUCUAUAAGGAUGCGAGUGUCUCUGUACACGUAAAUGGUGAGUUUUGGUGUUGGUGUGGGUGUGAGACAGGGGUGUGCUAUGUCACUAUGUCUUUUUAAUGUGUACAUGGAUGGUUGUAUGAGAGAAAUGAAAGCCAGAGUGGGGGAGUGGGGUCUAAGGCUAAAAGUGAGAGGUACAGAGGGAAAAUUUAGGGUCACUUGUGAAAAUCAUGAGGGGUAAAGGGAGGAUUAAGAGAUGGGGUAUCUGCUAGUCUUAUCAUUUACCUCUAUAAUCUAGACACAGAUUGGGCCCCCUCCUACCUCUCCAUGUAUUAAUUCCAUACAAUGCAAGCAACUUUACUGACUGUCUCCCUGCCAGAGAGAGGCAGAGGGUAAAGCAAAAUUUGCAAGAAACUAUACUAAUGCUAAUCUUUUGUGCAUCAGAUUAUGUGCCUUACUCCAUCUACUUUAUGCAUGGUCAGUU